rnacentral:lncRNA from 1 species
AUUAAGAGGAAUCUGGAUUACAAAUAUGAAGAAAACCCUAAUUAUUUUUGCAGAAUAAAACUUAGUCUGAAAAUUAAGAGAAACAACCUAUUUAUAGCAAAUACUAGGAAGCCCUAAAACACAAAACGACAAAGUUUUAAAGGGUUUAAGAGAGUACUCGACCCUUGUGAUCGAGUAUGAGCAAUCGAGUAAAGUUGGCGUCUUUGUGGAUUCUUGCUCUGGUCAUGAUGUAAUGCUUCAUCCUCUUCUCUUCCUUACGCUCAAUGUCUGGUUGAGUGCGGAUCUGAGAAGACUCUGAAGCUUGU